UGGGGAAUAUUGGACAAUGGGCGAAAGCCUGAUCCAGCCAUGCCGCGUGUGUGAAGAAGGUCUUCGGAUUGUAAAGCACUUUAAGUUGGGAGGAAGGGCAGUAAGCGAAUACCUUGCUGUUUUGACGUUACCGACAGAAUAAGCACCGGCUAACUCUGUGCCAGCAGCCGCGGUAAUACAGAGGGUGCAAGCGUUAAUCGGAAUUACUGGGCGUAAAGCGAGCGUAGGUGGUUCGUUAAGUUGAAUGUGAAAGCCCCGGGCUCAACCUGGGAACUGCAUCCAAAACUGGCGAGCUAGAGUAGGGCAGAGGGUGGUGGAAUUUCCUGUGUAGCGGUGAAAUGCGUAGAUAUAGGAAGGAACACCAGUGGCGAAGGCGACCACCUGGGCUCAUACUGACACUGAGGUGCGAAAGCGUGGGGAGCAAACAGG
rnacentral:rRNA from 1 species